AGCAACUAGGAUGAACGAAUAGCUACGGCUAACUGUAUAGAAAUAUACGGUAUUGACUUAUGUUAAAUAAAGUUCUGGGUAAGAUUUUAUUAUGAAAUUUCCUACCCAUUUGUCUUGACCAAAUUGUGUGCCAGCAGUCGCGGUAAUACACAAAAGACAAGUGUUAUUCAUCUUUAUUAGGUUUAAAAUGUACCUAGACGGCAAAUCAAGCCAAACACGGGACUAUUUUGCUAGAGUUUCUUAUGAGUGGGCUUUAAAGUACUAAUGGUGGAGAGAUAAAAUAUUGUUAUACCAUUUUUCAUAAUGAAGAGCUAUGGCACUGGUUUUGGUGAAAGCAUCCCCCUAUGUGAAAACUGACGUUGAAGGACGAAGGCUUUGGGUCGCGAAUAGGAUUAGAUACCCUAGUAGUCAAAGCAGAAAAUUAUGAGUGUUAUAAGGUGGACUGCUACGUUUAUUUUAUAAAUGAAAGUGUAAGCACUCUACCUCAAGAGUAGUUUGGCAACAAAGGAACUGAAAUCAUUAGACCGUUUCUGAAAACAGUAGUGCAGUAUGUUGUUUAAUUCGAUAAUCCGCGAAAAACCUUACCACAAUUUGAAUAUUUAUAUUUGAUAUAUUUACAAGCGUUGCACGGCUGUUUUCAGUUAAUGUCGUGAGACUUUGGUUAGAUCCAUUAAAUUAACGUAAGCCCUAUCUCUAUUUAUAUAUAGAGGUGUUCUCCACAAUAUUGGAAAAGAUAACAGGGACUAAAACAAGUCAUCAUGGCCUAAAUAUUGU
rnacentral:rRNA from 1 species